GUAAGAAAUACCUGCAUCUGUCAGCCUUAGCAGAGCUCUGGGGAGUCUGCACCAUGGCCUGGAUCCCACUCCUCCUCUUCACCCUCCUCCUCCACUGCACAGGGUCUGUCUCCCAGCCUGUGCUGACUCAGUCGCCCUCUGCCUCUGCCUCCCUGGGAGCCUCGGUCAAGCUCACCUGCACUCUGAGCAGUGGGCACAGCAGCUACACCAUCGCAUGGCAUCAGCAGCAGCCAGAGAAGGCCCCUCGGUACUUGAUGAAGCUUAACAGUGAUGGCAGCCACAGCAAGGGGGACGGGAUCCCUGAUCGCUUCUCAGGCUCCAGCUCCGGGGCUGAGCGCUACCUCACCAUCUCCAACCUCCAGUCUGAGGAUGAGGCUGAUUAUUACUGUCAGACCUGGGAGGGUGGCAUUCACACAGUGACGCAGGCCGAUGAGAAAGUGGGACAGAAACCUCAGCCUGCUCAGGGUCUUGUUAUAUGACAAGUUUUAAAUUUUCAAAUAUGUUUUAUAUGUACACACUCCACUUGGAAGCAC